rnacentral:tRNA from 1 species
GGGCGGUUAGCUCAGUUUGGGAGAGCGUCUCGCUUACACCGAGAAGGUCACUGGUUCGAGCCCAGUACCGCCCA